AGUGAACGCUGGCGGUAGGCCUAACACAUGCAAGUCGAACGGCAGCACAGUAAGAGCUUGCUCUUACGGGUGGCGAGUGGCGGACGGGUGAGGAAUACAUCGGAAUCUACUUUUUCGUGGGGGAUAACGUAGGGAAACUUACGAUAAUACCGCAUACGACCUACGGGUGAAAGCAGGGGAUCUUCGGACCUUGCGCGAUUGAAUGAGCCGAUGUCGGAUUAGCUAGUUGGCGGGGUAAAGGCCCACCAAGGCGACGAUCCGUAGCUGGUCUGAGAGGAUGAUCAGCCACACUGGAACUGAGACACGGUCCAGACUCCUACGGGAGGCAGCAGUGGGGAAUAUUGGACAAUGGGCGCAAGCCUGAUCCAGCCAUACCGCGUGGGUGAAGAAGGCCUUCGGGUUGUAAAGCCCUUUUGUUGGGAAAGAAAAGCAGCAGGUGAAUACCCCGCUGUUCUGACGGUACCCAAAGAAUAAGCACCGGCUAACUUCGUG
rnacentral:rRNA from 1 species